UGUCCAAGCUAGAGGGAAACAUGGGGUCCACUAGUUCUCGACAAGUGGAACAGGUCACUUCCCAUCAUGCCGUCCAGGAGCAAGAGAGACUCUUAGGGGGUUGUGCCCCUCCCCACCCCCAAUACGCAGAUUCUGUGUACCAUUUACAUCCAGAACAUUGGUUAAAACCUGAAUUCUGGCCCUGCGUGAGCCACUGUGCCCUGCCCUAAAUGAUUUCUAAGAUGCUAAACAACCCUGACGUACGGUCAAUCCUCUGGUUCUUUCCCCUCUGACCACAUUCUGACCUCUUCUCAGAAUAUCCCAACCAUUUCUGUUUUCCACCUCUGAUUCCACCUUGGAUUCCUAGAGCUCUUAGGAGAGAGAACCCCCUUAGCAAGGAACCUCUCAACAGCCCCAGGCCCAGAGUGAACCCGGGAGGCGGAGGUUGCAGUGAGCCGAGAUAGUGCCACUGCACUCCAGCCUGGGCGACAGAGCGAGACUGUCUCA
rnacentral:lncRNA from 1 species